GGGAACCCAGUUCCACUUGCCUCAGACAAAUGGAAGUUCUGUAAAGACAAAAAUGAAAAACUAACAUCAGCUUUGAAUGGCAAUGAAACUUCCUGGUAUUAUUGCUCUAUAAAGAAUCCAAAGUGGCCGAAUUACUGAAAACAAAGGUGGAAAAUACCUCCUAGACCAUCCCUGCUUCAUGCCACCAGGCUAGUGCAGGAUUGCGCCUUACCUUAUGCUGUAUUUUCCAGGGCUUUGACCAGUCUAGUUUUAAAUUAUUCAGGCAAUGGGAUUCCUAUCACUUCUCUUGAGAAACUAUUUUACAGUCCAAAGAUCUCAAAGUUAGAAGCAAGGAGAUGGAGAGAGGCCACAGUACAGCGGGCGAUAUAUUUAACACAUCUCUUAUAUUACAUUUCUUUUAGGUGCAGCAUAUUUUUCUAAUGACUAAGAUUUUAAUUAUAAUUUCCUUUCUGCAUCUGCUCACUGUCAAUGGUGACAAGUCAGGAACAAAUGGGCCCACUCUGAUUGCCAGGCUUUCUUUACCUGAUAAUGGCAGCCACUUCUAGUCUGCCCAUGCAACCCUGAAGCAGCUCCAGUUUUCACCUCUCCAGCCCCACGCAUUUGCUUUUCAGCAAAGAGGGGAAUGUUGCUCUCAGCCAUUGCUGAAAUGAUUCAAUGCCUCUGAUCAACAAAGAAUUACAGCAGGUCUUUGAAAAUAUUUUCAUCUAUACAUUAAGAAAGAAGACACAUAGUAUCUUGUCUUUUUGUGAAUUGGCUAUUACAGCUAUGUCCACCUCUUUCACUGUAUGGGGAAUCUGUCUUUAUUCUCCAGCAAACUCAUUAGAGUGGCUAGUUUCCACGCAGUAAUAUCUCAUGUCAUCUUAUAAAAUCCUAUUGAGAAGUCGUCUGGUCUUGGGGAUUUUUGUGAUGGCAUUGAUUAUUCGCCCCCCUGCAACCCUCUUCCUGCGUUGGUCUUUCUAAGCCUAUCAACUGUUCCUCAGCUAACUUGGGCAUGCUGCCUCAUUAAUACAUUCCCUAAUUUUCUCCAGAGCCUCUUUAUAAUCCGAGGCCUGAAGAUUUAUAUAAAGUUUCCUAGAUUCUUCAACAAUCUGUCUGGUCUUAAAUUUUACUGUGUUUAUGUAGGGGAGGGAGGAGGGCAGAUGCAUUUAUUGCCUGUAUUUGAGUCUCUCUUCUCAUAAUUGAUAGGCAAGGGGUUUAUUGGCCUUAUUCCCUUCAUAAUAUCUCUAUUUCAGCUAGCUGAGAGCCCUGUCCGUUUUCUCUAUAUGUACAGCAGUUAGUUGCCCUCAAGGAAGGAGAGGCAUUUAAUAUAUACUUCUUUUAUGCAAGGUUCACAGGUUUUCAGUCUUCUAUGUUAAUUUUACUUUUUUUAUUUCCUUUCUGGGACAGCAGGCUAAUUAAUUUGCUUCUUAUUACUGUUUUCAUGCAUACCCAACAAUAUUUUUAGAUGUUUAACCAUUAUAAUUAGUAUCAAAAUAGGACUUCGUUUCUCUUUUAAUAGUAUCCAAAAUAACU
rnacentral:lncRNA from 1 species